CCUCCCCGAAACGUCAGCCAAGUUUUCUCUUCUUGCGGAUCAUAAAAGAAGAAAGAAAAAAGGUCUCUCUUCGUUUCCUGAAUUCCUCCCCUCCCCUCUCCUUCUGUUCCAAACCUAAUUUAGUCGAGAAUUGUCAACUUUAUAGUUUCGUAUUCAGUCGAUUGCAUCUUGCUAUGAUUUCUUUUGUUAAACAAAUAGCAAAACGAAAUAGAACAGAUGCGAAAUCAAAUCCAAAAAAAACACUCGGGAACUUCUGGACAUGCAGAUUCCAAUUCUCCUGGAUUCCUGCUUUUUCUCCUGUCGCAAAUCCCAUUGGAAUGAAUUCUGCCAUCAUAUUGGUGGUCUUAGAAAAUAUGCUCUGAUGUGCCACCUCCAAUAAUGGAGAUGGAAACAAGAAAAAAGGAAGCCUGGGAAAAUAUCCUUUUUUGCUCCAACAAUUGAGCAAGAGAGAAAUGAUCCACCACUAUCACAAGAUAAAAAUCCCAAUAAUGACGAUAUCGGGUUUUUAUCUUGUGGUAGUGUUUGUUCGUUUCUCUCUGGCAGUUUUCUAUGCUCCUCAAUUCCUGCUUUUUCUUGUAAGCUCUUCACUCUACCCCUUAAAAAUUGCUCGUUAACUUAUUCUUGUUUUAGAUUUAUGUUUCAUAUUUAUGGGUGCUCGAUGAUGAUUGAUUUGCUUUAACCACACCGAAGAGAGGGUUGUUGGGUCUGGGUUUGACCCACUUGGAUUUAAGCUAAAAACGAGGGGUUAAUGCUUCUACUAGUGUAGUGCUUUGUGGUGUUUGAUGACUCUUCUCUCUAGCAGUGUGAGAGACCUCAAUCUCUCUAUCUUCCAGAGAAAGGAUGAAGGCAUUGUUUAGCACUUUGCUAGUAGGGUUCCCUUCAUUUUUGGCUUGAAUCUUUGAGAGGGUUGGCUCUUCCUCCUAGCUUUCUUAUGUGGAAAACUUUGGCCCUUUGACUGAGAGCACGGAACCCUUUGUUUGGAUCUAUGUUUCGUAACUUGUAGUGUCCUAUAAGUUUUAGGGAUAAUUUUUGGUGUUUGGAUUUGAUUUGAGGAAAA